GACGAACGCUGGCGGCGUGCCUAAUACAUGCAAGUUGAGCGCUGAAGGUUGGUACUUGUACCAACUGGAUGAGCAGCGAACGGGUGAGUAACGCGUGGGGAAUCUGCCUUUGGGCGGGGGACAACAUUUGGAAACGAAUGCUAAUACCGCAUAAAAACUUUAAACACAAGUUUUAAGUUUGAAAGAUGCAAUUGCAUCACUCAAAGAUGAUCCCGCGUUGUAUUAGCUAGUUGGUGAGGUAAAGGCUCACCAAGGCGAUGAUACAUAGCCGACCUGAGAGGGUGAUCAGCCACAUUGGGAAUGAGACACGGCCCAAACUCCUACGGGAAGCAGCAGUAGGGAAUCUUCGGCAAUGGACGAAAGUCUGACCGAGCAACGCCGCGUGAGUGAAGAAGGUUUUCGGAUCGUAAAACUCUGUUGGUAGAGAAGAACGUUGGUGAGAGUGGAAAGCUCAUCAAGUGACGGUAACUACACAGAAAGGGACGGCUAACUACGUG
rnacentral:rRNA from 1 species